ACCAUUUUUGUUGGCUCAGUCAGUAGAACAUGAGACUCUUAAUCUCAGGGUCGCAGGAUCAAGUCCCACAUUGGGCA